AAUCCUGCAAAUGGGAAAAUCAGGAUCGGUCACUAGUGCCUACUGAUAAUCCUUGCUGGCUGAGCACAUGCGAUCUGUAUAUAAUAAAAUUCCCCCCCAAAAAACUACAGGGGACAGAACCUAAAUCCUUGGUGAUUGGGUUAACGAGAACAUGGUCACAAAAUGGAAAGUUUAAUUAUAAUGCCUCUACUUCAUACUCAUUAAAAAGAAUAACAAAACAUACUUAUGAUUUUCUUUAAAAUAUGGGAGGGAAUUUAAUUUACAGAUGUAAGGGAGGGAAGGACAAAUUCCUAAAGUGGGGCGUGGUAGUUAAGAACCACUGCCUUAGACACUUUGACCAGCGAAUUAAGAAGCUUGUCCAAAGCGAAUAAAAGCAGAGCCGUGUAAGCGGCGCUUAACAUAAUCGAAAGUGGUUCUUUAGAUUAAAAUUGUAUAUACUUUGUAACAAUGUAACCCAAUAGUUUUGUAUAACCAAAAACGUUUCAUUACUUUCAACUGAUAUGUUAUACGAAAAUUUACUAUUGGAAGGGCUAGCAAGUCCAUUUUGUAUUUUAUACAAAUUCCUUAAUAUUGUGAAAAUUUAAAUAAGGAUAAUCAGCAGAGUCUGCAUCAAAUAUUAAGUGCCGCAAAAUUACCUCACUCCUGCCGCCGAGGUAACCUCAUACGGGAUUAAGUUCUAUUGGGGACGAUCCGUGACUAAACAUCAUGGCAAAUGACCCAAGUUUCGGCAUUUUGGUAACACUGUUCCGGAUGCCCAUUCACCAGUGCAACAUACAGCUCCCGCUAACAAGCUGCACGGUGAAGAAAACGAAAAUAUGAAGAUGGGAUUCAUCACAGAACGUUAUGAAAAAGAGGUAUAAGAAACAAUAUUGUUAACAUCGCCUCCAGUUCGCCCAGCAGUAUGUGAAGAGCGCAAGAUGUGACAGACGAAAUAUCUAUGAAACGUCAUGGGAGGCCCUGCGACCUGUAAUAUGUGGGUUUGGAUCUUUAUGCAUAGUGUUGGUAAACUCGCCGGUGAUUCAAUUUAGAAAAAAUAAAUAUUUUGAAUUGUUAGAAGAAACAUUCUUCCUGUCAGUACGCUGCUAUGCCUUGGCCCUUCCCAGAAACAAUCAUGUUCCUGCAGGAUAACUGCCCAAUACACAAGUAAAGGGCAAUUAAGAAGUGGUUCGGUGACCAAAACCGCAUGGAAGUCCUACCGCGGGCAAGCAAGGCAUGUGACUCAAACCCGAUGAAAAAUGUUUGGGCAAAUAUUGCCAAUGUUUAGAAAACGGCUAAUGAAAGAACCUCCCAAUAGCUGAUAGAUCAUGCUAAAAGGGAAUGAAAUUGUAUGAGAGGAAUGUCAGGGAGGAAACCGGCAUCUCACGUAAACAUGUCACCUCUGUCCUUGGGAUUAGGCAAGGAUUUGAAUAACGAUAGAUUAUUAUAAAUAUGGCUGCCCCCAG